rnacentral:rRNA from 1 species
AGUGAACGCUGGCGGUAGGCCUAACACAUGCAAGUCGAACGGCAGCACAGGAGAGCUUGCUCUCUGGGUGGCGAGUGGCGGACGGGUGAGGAAUACAUCGUAAUCUACUCUGUCGUGGGGGAUAACGUAGGGAAACUUACGCUAAUACCGCAUACGACCUACGGGUGAAAGCAGGGGACCUUCGGGCCUUGCGCGAUUGAAUGAGCCGAUGUCGGAUUAGCUAGUUGGCGGGGUAAAGGCCCACCAAGGCGCCGAUUCGUAGCUGGUCUGAGAGCAUGAUCAGCCACCCUGGAACUGAGACACGGUCCAGACGCCUACGGGAGGCAGCAGUGGGGAAUAUUGGACAAUGGGCGCAAGCCUGAUCCAGCCAUACCGCGUGGGUGAAGAAGGCCUUCGGGUUGUAAAGCCCUUUUGUUGGGAAAGAAAUCCAGCUGGCUAAUACCCGGUUGGGAUGACGGUACCCAAAGAAUAAGCACCGGCUAACUUCGUGCCAGCCGCCGCCGUAA